CGUGGGUAACCUGCCCGGAAGUGGGGAAUACCUCGGGGAAACUCGAGCUAAUACCGCAUGACAUCUUUGGGACGAGAGUCCCGACGAUCAAAGCGGGGUCGCAAGAUCUCGCGCUACCGGAUGGGCCCGCGCCCGAUUAGCUAGUUGGUGGGGUAAUGGCUCACCAAGGCUUCGAUCGGUAACCGGCCUGAGAGGGCGAUCGGUCACACCGGAACUGAGACACGGUCCGGACUCCUACGGGAGGCAGCAGUGGGGAAUCUUGCGCAAUGGGCGAAAGCCUGACGCAGCAACGCCGCGUGGAGGAUGAAGGCCCUUGGGUUGCAAACUCCUGUCGGCUGGGAAGAAAUCAUACGGUGCUCAUACCACCGUGUGUUGACUGUACCAGCAAAGGAAGCCCCGGCUAACUCUGUGCCAGCAGCCGCGGUAAUACAGAGGGGGCCAGCGUUAUUCGGAAUUAUUGGGCGUAAAGGGCGCGUAGGCGGCCAUGCGUGUCUUCCGUGAAAUCCCUCGGCUUAACUGAGGACGUGCGGAAGAAACUGCAAGCUUCGAGUCCGGGAGAGGGGGGUGGAAUUCCCAGUGUAGCGGUGAAAUGCGUAGAUAUUGGGAGGAACACCGGUGGC
rnacentral:rRNA from 1 species